AAAGUCGGAAUGGGUGUUGAAAGAUUACCGACAAGAUGAGGGAAACACGCAACCCUCGUUCGAUGCGGGUAAUUAUUCCAACAGUUCCGCAUCGAUGCCGCUGCU
rnacentral:ncRNA from 2 species